CAUCACUUCAGCUGCAAGACAGGUGAACUUCAGGCACAGAAGGAGCUUUGUGAGAAAAAAGGAUGGAACAGAGAAACAAUCAGCCUUGUUUUUCUCAUCAGACUGUUUCCUUUACGUGUGGAAGAGGGGAAAGCACAGCAUAAGUCUCCAAGCGCCUACAAUUUUCCUGCAAAUAAUAAUGCAUCUGCAGUGCUUCAAGACCCAUUGAGCAAGAAGGCUAACAAUGAGAAACAGUUUCCAGUAUAA
rnacentral:lncRNA from 1 species